UACAGAGGUGGCAAGCGUUGUUCGGAAUUACUGGGCGUAAAGGGCGCGUAGGCGGUUCGAUAAGUCCCGUGUGAAAUCCCUCGGCUCAACUGAGGAACUGCACGGGAAAUUGACGGGCUUGAGUUCGGGAGAGGGAAGCGGAAUUCCGGGUGUAGCGGUGAAAUGCGUAGAUAUCAGGAGGAACACCAGCGGCGAAGGCGGCGCUCUGGGCCGGUACUGACACUGAGGAGCGAAAGCGUGGGUAGCAAACAGG
rnacentral:rRNA from 1 species